rnacentral:rRNA from 1 species
UACGUAGGUGGCAAGCGUUGUCCGGAAUUAUUGGGCGUAAAGCGCGCGCAGGCGGCCUUUUAAGUCUGAUGUGAAAGCCCACGGCUCAACCGUGGAAGGUCAUUGGAAACUGAAAGGCUUGAGUACAGAAGAGGAAAGCGGAAUUCCACGUGUAGCGGAUGAAAUGCGUAGAGAUGUGGAGGAACACCAGUGGCGAAGGCGGCUUUCUGGUCUGUAACUGACGCUGAGGCGCGAAAGCGUGGGGAGCAAACAGG